CCAGUCAUUGCUGUUCUUUGCAUUGCUGAGGAGGACAGUCCUGCCAACAUAACAGUUUGUUCAAUAACAGGAGACAAACAGAAACACAGAGGUGCUAUACAUUUCAAUGGAAAAACAAAAGCAUCUCCCAUCAUUUUGGCGUGGCUCAGAUCAAGAGGAGAAUUUCAAGAAAGGUGAUGGUUGGCACACACAAGAAGACAUAGAUCACAGGUGUCCAGGCAUAUGAGUAGACAGGAGUUUCACACUCUGCCAAACUUACUUCAUCAGAGGAGCAGAAGGCUUCUCAAGAUCCCGCACUGCACACUUAGAUAUAGUCUUUGACUAC